rnacentral:rRNA from 1 species
UACAGAGGGUGCGAGCGUUAAUCGGAAUUACUGGGCGUAAAGCGCACGUAGGUGGCGACGUAAGUCGGGUGUGAAAGCCCCGGGCUCAACCUGGGAAUUGCAUUCGAGACUGCAUUGCUGGAGUACGGAAGAGGAAGGCGGAAUUCCCGGUGUAGCGGUGAAAUGCGUAGAUAUCGGGAGGAACAUCAGUGGCGAAGGCGGCCUUCUGGUCCAAUACUGACACUCAAGUGCGAAAGCGUGGGGAGCAAACAGG